GAUGAACGCUCGCGAUAGGCUUAACACAUGCAAGUCGAGGGGCAGCAUGGUCUUAGCUUGCUAAGACUGAUGGCGACCGGCGCACGGGUGCGUAACGCGUAUGCAACUUGCCUCACAGAGGGGGAUAACCCGUCGAAAGACGGACUAAUACCGCGUACACUCCAUCUUGGGCAUCCAAGGUAGAGGAAAUGAAAUUCGCUGUGAGAUAGGCAUGCGUCCCAUUAGCUAGUUGGUGAGGUAACGGCUCACCGAGGCGACGAUGGGUAGGGGAACUGAGAGGUUGAGCCCCCACACUGGUACUGAGACACGGACCAGACUCCUACGGGAGGCAGCAGUGAGGAAUAUUGGUCAAUGGGCGAGAGCCUGAACCAGCCAAGUCGCGUGAAGGAUGACUGUCUUAUGGAUUGUAAACUUCUUUUAUACGGGAAUAACAAGAGUCACGUGUGACUCCCUGCAUGUACCGUAUGAAUAAGCAUCGGCUAACUCCGUG
rnacentral:rRNA from 1 species